GACGAACGCUGGCGGCGUGCCUAACACAUGCAAGUCGAGCGGGGUUGAGGCGAGAGGUAACUCGAACUUCUACCUAGCGGCGGACGGGUGAGUAACGCGUGGGCAACCUGCCUCAAGGUUUGGGAUAACAGCCCGAAAGGGCUGCUAAUACCGGAUAUGCCUAUGGCCUCGCAUGGGGCUAUGAGCAAAGGGGAAACCCGCCUUGAGAUGGGCCCGCGUCCCAUCAGCUAGUUGGUGAGGUAACAGCUCACCAAGGCGACGACGGGUAGCCGGCCUGAGAGGGUGACCGGCCACACUGGGACUGAGACACGGCCCAGACUCCUACGGGGGGCAGCAGUGGGGGAUCUUGCACAAUGGGCGAAAGCCUGAUGCAGCGACGCCGCGUGAGCGAAGAAGGGCCUUCGGGUUGUAAAGCUCUGUCUGGAGGGACGAACAAAAUGACGGUACCUCCGGAGGAAGCCACGGCUAACUACGUGCCAGCAGCCGCGGUAAAUCACGUGUA
rnacentral:rRNA from 1 species